AAAUGAAGACAACUUAAUUGAUCCGGAUAUUAUCUGCGAAAGAGAUUAUAGCGUCCCUUGUCCAAAUGUUAAAAAAUAUAUAUUAAUAAUUUUCUUUCUUUUUUUUUCCUUUUUAUUUAUUUUUAAAUAUGAAUUAUAUAUAUUUUAUUAUUCAUAGGAUUUUAAUUAUAUUGGAUCUGUUUAUGAAACAGAUGAUGAGAUAUGUGCACCGUCACCAACCUAUGACGGUCCAUGUAUGGAUAAAGAGUUAAAUAUAAAUGACAUAUCAGAUAUACAAAAAGAAAGUUGGUCUAAAAAAUGUCAAGCAUUUUGGCCUUGCAAAAAAUGUGUCAGAAACUUUACGUUAUUUUGUCCAGAAAAAUGGAAUAGAGUAAAGGGGUCUAUAAGGUCUUGUGAACCUUCAGAAUCUUACAGUGGACCCUGUAAAUUUGUAGUACACUUUUCUGGAUACAACACCACAAUGUUAGAAGAGUGGAGUUUAAAAUGUCAUGCUUGGUGGGCUUGUGAUCAUACAAAUGUAAUAGAUAAUUGUCCUGAUGAGGACCUCCCUAUAACACCAGAUUCUACUAGGUGGAGAUUAAAACAUAACUAUCAGUAAAGUUCUAUUUUAAUUUUUUUUUUUAUUCAAAUUUUUAAUUUUCUCAUAAUAGUUUUGGCUUAUAUUUAUUGAUAUGGUAAAUAUUUAUUGGAUCAAGUAAUAUUUUUUGUUUUCUGUAAAAAUUAGAAGAUACAUAAAUAUGUUGGAACGUAUUUAAAUAGGUUUUUUUUUUUUUUUUUUUUUUUUUUUUUUUUUUUUUUUGUCAAUUUGAAACGGCUUGGCCUAUUUUUGUACACAUAUAUAUAUAUAUAUAUAUAUAUAUAUAUAUAUAUAUAUAUAUAGAUUUACAAGUGCGUAUAUGUAUAAUUAAUUUAUUAUUUGGCGUUAAUUUUUUUUUUUAUGUUAUAAAUUUGUUUUUGUUUAUUUAACAUUUUUUUUUGUUUAAAUAUGUGGUGUUUGCAAACAUAAAAAAAAAAAAAAAAACAUAAAAAAAAGAAAC
rnacentral:lncRNA from 1 species